rnacentral:rRNA from 1 species
CCAGACUCCUACGGGAGGCAGCAGUGAGGAAUAUUGGUCAAUGGCCGAGAGGCUGAACCAGCCAAGUCGCGUGAGGGAAGACGGUCCUAUGGAUUGUAAACCUCUUUUGUCGGGGAGCAAAAAGGCCUCGUGAGGCCACAAGUGAGAGUACCCGAAGAAAAAGCAUCGGCUAACUCCGUGCCAGCAGCCGCGGUAAUACGGAGGAUGCGAGCGUUAUCCGGAUUUAUUGGGUUUAAAGGGUGCGUAGGCGGACUGGAAAGUCAGCGGUAAAAUCGGGAGGCUCAACCUCUUUCCGCCGUUGAAACUGGCGUUCUUGAGUGGGCGAGAAGUAUGCGGAAUGCGUGGUGUAGCGGUGAAAUGCAUAGAUAUCACGCAGAACUCCGAUUGCGAAGGCAGCAUACCGGCGCCCAACUGACGCUGAAGCACGAAAGCGUGGGUAUCGAACAGGAUUAGAUACCCUGGUAAA